CAGGCCUAACACAUGCAAGUCGAGCGAGAAAGGGGAAACCCCGGUAAAGCGGCGCACGGGUGAGUAACACGUAGGUAAUUUACCCCCAGGUGGUGGAUAACCUUCCGAAAGGAGGGCUAAUACAGCAUAAGACCACGUCUUCGCAAGGAGAUGAGGUCAAAGCCGGCCUCUUCACGAAAGCUGGCGCCAGGGGAUGAGCCUGCGGCCCAUCACGGUAGUUGGUAGGGUAAUGGCCUACCAAGCCUAAGACGGGUAGCUGGUCUGAGAGGAUGAUCAGCCACACUGGAACUGAGACACGGUCCAGACUCCUACGGGAGGCAGCAGUGGGGAAUCUUGCGCAAUGGGCGAAAGCCUGACGCAGCGACGCCGCGUGAGUGAUGAAGGCCUUCGGGUUGUAAAGCUCUGUGGGGAGGGACGAAUAAGUGCUGGCUAAUAUCCAGCGCGAUGACGGUACCUCUUUAGCAAGCACCGGCUAACUCUGUGCCAGCAGCCGCGGUAAU
rnacentral:rRNA from 1 species